rnacentral:rRNA from 1 species
GUCUACAGCCAUGCUACUCUGAACAAGCUCAAUCUCGUCUGAUCUCAGAAGCUAAGCAAGGUCAGGCCUAGUUAGUACUUGGAUGGGAAACCACCUAGGAAGACCAGGUACUGUAGACA